AUGGACCGAACACAGAUGCCAGCACAAACAACCAGAAAGAAAAAGUUUUUGAGUGAACACUUAAGACCCUUCAAAUGCACCACGAUAAUUCAGAGUAGGAAAAGUACGGGAGAUUCUCAAAUACUGGGAAGUACAGAAAUUCUGUCUCGAUUACCUGCCUCCAUCUGGAAUGAAAAUCGAUUCGUCUUAAGGGCCUGGGCUCUCUCCAUUAGUAUUAUAGCAUUUCUCUUGCUGAUUUUCUUGUUUGAUGGAAGGCUGGCUGUCGUUGAAGUGUUAGAAAAUCACAAAGAAGCCCUGGGCUACUGGACCAACUGUCAGUAUUACUCCUGCCCAAACCUAGGCAAGGUUACAGUGAAUAAACACCUGGGAAUGGGCUUCAUGAUCCUUGCCCUGGGCUCUGAGAUCUUCUGCCUCCUCUUCAUGGGCUUCUCUUUCCGGCCCAUCUUCCGAAGAAUCGUUCGCUGUGAUUUGGUCUUUGGUAUCCUCAACUUUACUACUGGUAGGAUGGACCUGGGAUCAGGCCUGAGGUGCAGAUGAAGAGAGGAGAUGGGAUUGGACCAGGGUGGGAACAGGGAAUUACACCUAAGAGGGGAGCCUUAAUGACGCUUGGAUUGAGGAAGCCUCAAUUGGAAAGGGGAAAAGGGAAAAGAAUUUUUAUCUGGGGAUGGUCUUUUGGCCCUUCUCCUUUGGUGGGUUCGUCUCCUC
rnacentral:lncRNA from 1 species